UGCAGUUAAAAAGCUCGUAGUUGGAUGUCGGAACCGGCCGAUUGGUCCGUCCUCUGGAUCGUGUACUGAUCGGUCUGUUCUUCUUCGCGAAGACCGCGUGUGCUCUUAACUGAGUGGGCGUGGGAUUCGCGACGUUUACUUUGAAAAAAUUAGAGUGUUCAAAGCAGGCAGUCGCUUGAAUAUCUCAGCAUGGAAUAAUAGAAUAGGACUUUGGUCUUAUUUUGUUGGUUUCCGAGACCGAAGUAAUGAUUAAUAGGGACAGUUGGGGGCAUUCGUAUUUCAUUGUCAGAGGUGAAAUUCUUGGAUUUAUGAAAGACGAACUUCUGCGAAAGCAUUUGCCAAGGAUGUUUUCAUUAAUCAAGAACGAAAGUUGGAGGCUCGAAGACGAUCAGAUACCGUCCUAGUUCCAACCAUAAACGAUGCCGUCUGCGGAUCGGAGGUCGCUCAUGUAAGGCUCCUUCGGCACGCUAUGAGAAAUCAAAGACUUCGGGUUCCGGGGGGAGUAUGUUCGCAAGAAUGAAACUUAAAGGAAUUGACGGAAGGGCACCACCAGGAGUGGAACCUGCGGUUUAAUUUGACUCAACACGGGAAAACUCACCAGGUCCAGAC
rnacentral:rRNA from 1 species